rnacentral:rRNA from 1 species
CCCUCUCCUCAAAUGUUGGGCAUGCGUGUCUUAAAAAAAAGGCGAUGGCCGGCUCUGCUCUCGGCCGCGCUGCGCUCGGUGAGCGAGUGAGCGAAGUGUUUAGGUGCUUGGAAUCGAGCGGCAGGCCGGUACCAGCGACGUAGGCAGCGCAGCUGGAGGUGGGGGCGGCGCAUGAGCAGGAACCGAGGCUUGGGCUGUCGCGCACUGGGCCAAUCCUGAUCCUCCGCGUGAUGAGUAGGUGAACACCGUCGGUGGUUAGCGGUGCACGUGCCGGCGUGACACUGGUCAGAGGCGGUCUAAGUGGGAGCGCUGGUGAAACGCUUGGGAGGCGCCGGGCAUAAGCACCGCAGCCGCCGCCUUCGCCUUCUCUACCGGCGCCUCCGCUCAUGAGGCCGCGGCCGGCUCCGGUCGCGCUUCGGGAAGCGGCAGGAGAAGCAGACGGAGCCCUUGUAAACAUCCUCAGGACGUCGACUUCGGCAGAAGGCCUUGGAGCAGUCGUUCGCGCCUGAACUCAGGUUCAAAGUCUAUCUGAGACGACCAUGGUAUCCAAUAGUACUCCCUCUAUUCCGGCUGAGUUCCUACUAUAGUUGAAGGUUCUUCGCCCCCUAACUCCACUGGAGUUAUAGGUCCGGAUAGUUUGGGAGUCUAAAGGCUUUAAAACUAGAAUAGGAACGUUACCUGUCCGUCUUAAUACUUCUGUAAAACUCGAGUAAACUGUCUACCGUUGUGUUCCUCUGAGAGGGUCUAUCACCUGGGUUCUUCCAAUUCGACUACACGAGGAUAACGUUCGCCGUAUGCCUCAGACUUCAAGGUCUAGGAAUGAUACCUCCGCGAUUCCCUAAACUUUUCCAUGACCUAGACGACCUUCUACGUACGCUCAGUAAUGAACUGUCGUAGCACCGCCUCUUUCUUUUGCAAAGACGAACUAGAGUCUUACUUAAAGGGACUCGGUUACAUUCGCAGUGUAAAAUUAAACUAACAUGGUCCUUAGUCAACGUUUCUACACCUUAAUCGAAAGACACUCGGUAGUAGAGAAGUCGGGUCUAUUAACAUUACUAUUAAUUGAUUUUUAUGUGAGAGAGUAGUAGUACGCAUAUAUACACAAUCCGACCUAUGUAAAGUAUGAAGGAAACAAAACUAAAAUGAGGCCAUUGUAGCGUCUUAUGUGUAUAUCGGUCCAGUACAGGAAACAGCACUCCUAUUGUACAUCCCGGGCCCCUACGAUCAAUCGUUAAAAGUCCAAACGAAAUGGAAUCUCCUAACUUUUUUCAAGAAAGGCUUUUUUCCGUCUUUUGAGACUAUUAGUCAACUAUUAAAAAAAACAUUAUAGUUGGCUAAAUUAAACUACACGUCAAGUAAAUUAUAUGUAUUCGACGAUUAAAGAUUUUUGCACGUCGAUAACAUAAAACAAUACAUGUUAGCACAUGUAAACUAACGUUAAA